rnacentral:rRNA from 1 species
GAUGAACGCUGGCGGCGUGCCUAAUACAUGCAAGUCGAGCGAACAGACGAGGAGCUUGCUCCUCUGACGUUAGCGGCGGACGGGUGAGUAACACGUGGAUAACCUACCUAUAAGACUGGGAUAACUUCGGGAAACCGGAGCUAAUACCGGAUAAUAUAUUGAACCGCAUGGUUCAAUAGUGAAAGACGGUUUUGCUGUCACUUAUAGAUGGAUCCGCGCCGCAUUAGCUAGUUGGUAAGGUAACGGGUUACCAAGGCAACGAUGCGUAGCCGACCUGAGAGGGUGAUCGGCCACACCGGUACUGAGACACGUUCCAGACUCCUACGGGAGGCAGCAGUAGGGAAUCUUCCGCAAUGGGCGAAAGCCUGACGGAGCAACGCCGCGUGAGUGAUGAAGGUCUUCGGAUCGUAAAACUCUGUUAUUAGGGAAGAACAAAUGUGUAAGUAACUAUGCACGUCUUGACGGUACCUAAUCAGAAAGCCACGGCUAACUACGUG